UCAAGUAUAUUGUAGUGUAGAGGU
rnacentral:piRNA from 1 species